AAACUCCGGUGGUAUAGAUGGCAUGCGUUAGAUUAGCUAGUUGGUAAGGUAACGGCUUACCAAGGCGACGAUCUAUAGGGGGUCUGAGAGGAUGGUCCCNNNNACUGGAACUGAGACACGGUCCAGACUCCUACGGGAGGCAGCAGUAAGGAAUAUUGGUCAAUGGAGGCAACUCUGAACCAGCCAUGCCGCGUGAAGGAAGAAGGCGUUCUGCGUCGUAAACUUCUUUUAUAUAGGAAGAAACGUUUCUUGCGAGAAACUAUGACGGUACUAUAUGAAUAAGGA
rnacentral:rRNA from 1 species